ensembl:lncRNA
CAAAAAUGAUUUAAUAGAAGGUAUUCUCCAGGUAGAGAAAAUGCAGCUGAGGUAAUACUGUGCUUUACUGGGCUUCUCACAUUUUGUUGUAUUACAAGAAAGAUGCAGAAAAUAACAUGGUUUUCCCCCUUGAAAAAAAAAAAAAAAACAUUUCUCAUAAGAAUGAAUGCACCAGACAGAUGAGUAACGCAUGCAGUUCACUAAUACUGUCAUCUCCUCAGGGGAGGGUCGGGUUGAAGUUUCACGAGAAGGUUCUUCAGCGAGAGAGUGCUCGGCAUUUGGAAGAGUUCAAAAGCAAAAUUGGCCCAGCUGGUGUUAGUGGACAGCUGCAUUAAACUUCCCAUGGGAGCCAGCUGGAAGAGCAUAUGGAACUAACAGAUAUGCUUUGGACUGCAAAUGAAGACAUAUGGUUCCUAAAGCCAGUGCAGAGCAAGCUAGUAUGGACUAAUUACUCAUACUAACAGAAUAAAGUUAACAUCAGAUUUCUACAUGAUCAAUCACUUCUGAAUACAGAUGUUAGACUAGUAUGUGAUAUUCCUGAAAAUGUUAACCUUUAUGGCUUCUGUAGUGCUUUGCUUUUUUUUUUUUCCAUAUCUUUCUAGUUUUAUCUUUGGACUUCCAUGGCCCUUCACAUGCAGAACAGAUUUGGUUUUCAUGGAAGAUAGUCAUGUAAAGAGAUAAGCCUUCUCCGGAUUAGGAAAUGGAUAGAAGCACUGCUAGAAACAAAAGUCAUUCAUCAAAUGGCACAGCUGUUCACUGUAUGUUCAUAAUGAGCUUUUUUAUUUGGGUGCUGUUUGGUAUUUAUAGCUAAUUAACUCCCUUUUACACCACCCAACAAUCUGCAUUUAGAGCACAGAGAAAAUGGAAAUAGAUUGAAUUAAAGCUGUUAAACACAGAGC